CUGGCGGCGUGCUUAACACAUGCAAGUCGAGCGAUGAAGUUUCCUUCGGGAAACGGAUUAGCGGCGGACGGGUGAGUAACACGUGGGUAACCUGCCUCAUAGAGUGGAAUAGCCUUCCGAAAGGAAGAUUAAUACCGCAUAACGUUGAAAGAUGGCAUCAUCAUUCAACCAAAGGAGCAAUCCGCUAUGAGAUGGACCCGCGGCGCAUUAGCUAGUUGGUGGGGUAACGGCCUACCAAGGCGACGAUGCGUAGCCGACCUGAGAGGGUGAUCGGCCACAUUGGGACUGAGACACGGCCCAGACUCCUACGGGAGGCUGCAGUGGGGAAUAUUGCACAAUGGGGGAAACCCUGAUGCAGCAACGCCGCGUGAGUGAUGAAGGUUUUCGGAUCGUAAAGCUCUGUCUUUGGGGAAGAUAAUGACGGUACCCAAGGAGGAAGCCACGGCUAACUACGUGCCAGCAGCCGCGGUAAUACGUAGGUGGCGAGCGUUAUCCGGAUUUACUGGGCGUAAAGGGAGCGUAGGCGGAUGAUUAAGUGGGAUGUGAAAUACCCGGGCUCAACUUGGGUGCUGCAUUCCAAACUGGUUAUCUAGAGUGCAGGAGAGGAGAGUGGAAUUCCUAGUGUAGCGGUGAAAUGCGUAGAGAUUAGGAAGAACACCAGUGGCGAAGGCGACUCUCUGGACUGUAACUGACGCUGAGGCUCGAAAGCGUGGGGAGCAAACAGGAUUAGAUACCCUGGUAGUCCACGCCGUAAACGAUGGAUACUAGGUGUGGGGGUUUCAACACCUCCGUGCCGCCGCUAACGCAUUAAGUAUUCCGCCUGGGGAGUACGGUCGCAAGAUUAAAACUCAAAGGAAUUGACGGGGACCCGCACAAGUAGCGGAGCAUGUGGUUUAAUUCGAAGCAACGCGAAGAACCUUACCUACACUUGACAUCCCUUGCAUUACUCUUAAUCGAGGAAAUCCCUUCGGGGACAAGGUGACAGGUGGUGCAUGGUUGUCGUCAGCUCGUGUCGUGAGAUGUUGGGUUAAGUCCCGCAACGAGCGCAACCCUUGUCGUUAGUUACUACCAUUAAGUUGAGGACUCUAGCGAGACUGCCUGGGUUAACCAGGAGGAAGGUGGGGAUGACGUCAAAUCAUCAUGCCCCUUAUGUGUAGGGCUACACACGUGCUACAAUGGCUGGUACAGAGAGAUGCAAUACCGCGAGGUGGAGCCAAACUUAAAAACCAGUCUCAGUUCGGAUUGUAGGCUGAAACUCGCCUACAUGAAGCUGGAGUUACUAGUAAUCGCGAAUCAGAAUGUCGCGGUGAAUACGUUCCCGGGUCUUGUACACACCGCCCGUCACACCAUGAGAGUUGGCAAUACCCGAAGUCCGUGAGCUAACAGCAAGGAGGCAGCGGCCGAAGGUAGGGUCAGCGA
rnacentral:rRNA from 1 species